CUUCCUCCUCCUCACAGAUGCUGCUCCCCAGCGAUGUUGGGGUGCCCACGUUCUCCGGGUCCUCGAUCCAAUAGCCCCCAAACUGUGGCAGGAUGACCUGAGGGUAUGGGCCUCCCUUCUCCACAACCUGAAGAACAGGAACAUAAACCCUGCCAGCUGACGAUGCAGUAUCCGAAGGCGCUGAACUUCUCACCCCGCAUAAUACCAGCUUCUCAUCCUAGAACGCUCAUUCCGGAAAAUGACCCCUAGUCUCCCCCAGCACCUCUUUCCAGGCAGGGGGACUGGCCUCCAAGUGAGAAGCGGCACCCCUGGGCUGGGAAACAGAACCUGAAGCUGAGAGCUGACUGCCCACUGGAACCCGGGGCAGAGCCUGACACCCUUACACACUGCACAGGGCGGGGAAGAGCCGGGCCAAACAGCCAAGCCUGAGGUCCCACCGCGGCCUCCACCCCCAGCCUGCUCUGAAGGUGCCCUGAGGACUCAAGCCAGGACCCCUCUGCUGCCCACCGUGCACUGGUCUAACAAGGCAGUCAUGAAGCGGCCGUGGCGUGAGUCAGAGUUAGACAAGUGUGAGACAGAAGACCCCAGCACCCUGGCAGCUCCUCCGGCCUUCCUCUCACCCUGGCCCCUCACCAGGGCCAUCGGGCCACCCCCUCCCCCACCCAGCCCACCUUGUUCUUCUGGGGUCCCGGCUUCUGCUCUUCAAGCUUGAUCCCCUAUAGAAACAAGGAAAACAGGAUCCACAGAAAAGCAAAGAUCAGAAGAAAGGGCCAGAUAAAGAGCACCUGGCCUCACAGGGGGUUAGUAACAAGAGCAGCAGCCACAGCUGGCCCAGGCUGGGCCUGCACACAUCACACCUGGCCACGGGCGGGCCUCCCAGCACCCUCAGGCAAGGCAGCAGCACCGCUGGGCUAACAGCACAGACUUGAGACAGAUCACCACGGUUCAAAUCCCAGCACUGCCACCUAUCAGCCUGAUGACCUUGGCAAGUCACAGAAACCUCUCUGUGACUCAGUGUUCUCAUCUGUGAAAUGGGAACGAUGAUGGUAUCGACUAUGCCACCAUAGUUAAAGAUGAACAAUGGGUUGAGCACUUGGAACACUGACUGGUACAUAAUAAAUGUUGUGGGUCAUUAU